rnacentral:rRNA from 1 species
AUUGAACGCUGGCGGCAGGCCUAACACAUGCAAGUCGAACGGUAACAGGAAUCAGCUUGCUGAUUCGCUGACGAGUGGCGGACGGGUGAGUAAUGUCUGGGAAACUGCCUGAUGGAGGGGGAUAACUACUGGAAACGGUAGCUAAUACCGCAUAACGUCGCAAGACCAAAGAGGGGGACCUUCGGGCCUCUUGCCAUCGGAUGUGCCCAGAUGGGAUUAGCUAGUAGGUGGGGUAACGGCUCACCUAGGCGACGAUCCCUAGCUGGUCUGAGAGGAUGACCAGCCACACUGGAACUGAGACACGGUCCAGACUCCUACGGGAGGCAGCAGUGGGGAAUAUUGCACAAUGGGCGCAAGCCUGAUGCAGCCAUGCCGCGUGUAUGAAGAAGGCCUUCGGGUUGUAAAGUACUUUCAGCGAGGAGGAAGGUGUUGUGGUUAAUAACCAUAGCAAUUGACGUUACUCGCAGAAGAAGCACCGGCUAACUCCGUGCCAGCCGCCGCGGUAA